rnacentral:lncRNA from 1 species
GCAUUUCUUUGCUCACUAUCACAAGAACCGAGACUGCUGAUCUAGAGCUCCAGCUCUGUUGAUCUCCUUGGCUGAAGGGUCCAUCCCAACUCAAGAUCCCAGAGGAAACCAGUCGACAGAGCUGUGAUUUGCCCUGUGAUUUGCCCUGGGCCUUCCCACAAUUCUAGAAACCCAUGACUUGACAUCAUUGCGCGGCCACCUGACUCCCAGCUGGCUUCAGCCUCUCCGUUUCAUCUCCCUCUACUCUCACUCUGCUGCUACCAAGUCAGACUUCUUUUCAGAAUGUCCUGUAUCAUUUUAAUGACUGGAGUGUGACUUUGUUCUCAGCACAAUGAGUAACAAAGCCAAAACACUGGAGAAUACGUUUACGUAUUCAAGAAAACCUCAGACAAGGAAGAAUGCUUUCAUAAUACAGUACAUUAAAAUCAGACGAAGCCUCGAAGGGCAGAAUCACCGACCCUGAAAAAUCAGAGUGUACUACAGAAGAAGACGACAGCGUUUGAGCACAUUUGUUGAAGCAGCCUCCUCUCCCUUAUGGUACGAUAAUCCCACACCGUUUUACCAUGCUCUCUGGCCUUCCCAGAACAUCAAUAAAAACUGCAUCCCCUGACUUUUCUUGGUGGUUUCUGUUAUCUUCCCUAAACUUUAAUUUAAUGUGAUCUUACUUAGGCAUUUCUCUUAGAGAGUAGGUCAUUAUAACGAAGCAUUUUUCACCCUCUGGGAAAGAGGUUUCCACAUAAGGGCCAGGCCACGUUUUCCCUUUCAUCCAGGGAUUCUACCAUAAGCAGCCUCUCAUCUUCACUUUUCCCAAAAAUUUUCUUAAAAUCAGUGUAUUUUUUUGCAGGACCGGAUAUCACAUUACAUUCUCUAGUUGGGGGUGGGGGGCGGGAUGGGAAGUGAGAACAAAGAACGAUAACUCCCGAAGUGAUUUUUUAAAAUGUAAACUUUCUUAUGAAGCAUAACAUAGACACGUGCCAACAUUAAGCGUACAGCUCCAUGAAAUUUUAUGCAGACACUCACUCAUGAAACCACAACUAGAACAGGAAAUAGGAUUUUGCCAGCACUCCUAUAAGGCACCUUGCAGUCGCUCCCCUCCCCUACCCCACUCCAGAACAUAACAAGCUCAUUUUCUGACUUCUAUCACUGUAGAUUAAUUUGCCGCUUUUCCAAACUUCCGUAAAUGGAAUCGGACAGUACAUACUCUUUGGUACCUGGCUCAAUAUUCUGUUCCUUGAGUGUGCUGAAGCAGUCAUUUGUUCAAUUUUAUUGCUGACUCAUAUUCUGUGCUAUGAAAAUGUAACAAUUUAUUUUUCCAUUCUACCACUAAUGGGCCUCUAGAGUCUUUCUACUAUUUGACCAUAAUGGAAAAUGCUGCAAUAAAAAUUGUUGUGCACGUCUUUUGAGAGCACAUGUACCUAUUUCUGUGGAUAUAUACCUAGACGUGUAAUAUCUGGGUCAUAAAUAGUCGUGUGCCUAUGCAGGCUUGCAGUGCCUCAUGAGAGCCUAGUUUUUGCAGUCUAAUUGUUAAAAAUAGCCAUAACUGAAAAUUAAGUUAUGUAAAC